ACCAUCCCCUGCCGGAGCCUCGUGGAGCUUUUAGUCUGGGAAUCGAAACCGCGAUCCUACGACCGCGAGUCCGCUGCCCUAAUAAUAAUAAUAAUAGUUCUGUCUUUAUUGGCCACAAGGGUUGUGAAAACACUUAGGACAUUACAAAAACAGGGGACAGUGAGAAGUUAUAUAAAAAAAACCUGAAAAAAAUAAAAAAACAAUAACAAACUGCAAAAAAAACCAGUUUUACAUAAAAAGCCCCAGUAGGAG